AACGUUGCCACCGUCUCCCGAACGGGCGAGCACAGUCACCUCACGCUGUCGGUGGGUGUCCCGCCGUUACCCGGUGUUUCAGAGGAAACACGUACACUCCCUUGCGUAGAACGCAUUCAAGAACGCGACAGAUUCAACCGCACCUUGGACGCUUGACGUCACAAUGUUUCUCACAAAGCGACCGCCAGCAGAGCUGAUCAUUCGCCGCCGCGACGGCACAGAAGACCGCUUCGUCCAGCCGGCUGCAGCGGCUGUGGAGCAGGCGUCGCGCACCGCGACGAACGACGACCACGAAGAGACGUAUCAGAUCGUUAUGGAGUGCGCGCCGUACACCGCAAGCUUCAACGCCCUUCUCGCCAAGGAUUCGGUGCACGAAGACUCGCGGCAGAUGGUCGCCCUCGUACAUCAUCGCAUGCACUCUGAGGGAAUACCUUUGAACACGCAGACGUACAACUUGCUGAUGAAACGAGUCACCCGUUUCACCGAUGGCGCCAUCUUCACCCUCUACGACGAGCUCAAGAGUGAGGGGCUGAAGGAGAACAGUAGCGUGCGGCCCAACAUGGAGAGCUACAUGCUACUGUUUCGCGCAUGCGAGCGCAGCGCGCUGUACAACCGGGCCUUCCUCUUCUACCAGCAGCUGCGAGAGCAGUUUCAUCUGGUGCCCGAGACAGCCGUGUACAACACCCUGCUGGGGUACUGCGCGGCCGUCCGUGACGUGGCACAGGCAACCUUUCUUAUCGAGGAGAUGAAGCAGCUCAACGUGCAGCGCGACGUGAACACGUACAACUGCCUCAUGAGUGUGAUGAUGGAAUCAGCGCCGUACGAGGAGACGCUGAAGGUGUUUCAGGAACUGCUCUAUCUCAACUUGAAGCCGACGAUUCGGAGCUACAACACCAUCCUGAAGGCGGCGUGCCGGCAUGGCGAUUAUGACCGUGCUUUCCAGUUCGUGGAGGAGAUGAAGAAGAAGGGCCUCAUCCCGAAUGUGGAGACGUACAACUACCUGAUCACCGUGUGUGAGCAGCGGCUCGACUACGUGCGCGGUACUGGCGCCUACUCAGCAGAGCGCCGCACACGGGAGCAGAUUCUUCAAGGCUUGCAGGCUAUUGCCGAGCUCGUCAUGACACUCCUGCGCGAGAUGCGGUCAAUCCAGGUGUGGCCGGACACCUACACCUACAACAAAGCGCUCAGCAUCCUUCGGAGCUGUGAGGACGAGCGGGUGUUCGUUGUGUACAACGACAUGGUGUUGCACACGAGCGAGAUCGUGGACCGAUCCAGAGGCGCUGGCCGUGAACCCUCUUCGUCGUCGCGCAAAUGGGGGAUAGCGAACGGCAAUGACGAUGGCAUGCAUCGGGCCGAUGCCGGCAUACUCUUGGAAGAGGCGCUCCAAGCGGAAGACGAGGAGGAAGUGGGUAACAUGCGCAGCGAUGCCGUUCGACCUAACCUGGAGACCUGGCGGCAGAUGAUGAAGGCGUGUCUCUUCUACCAGCACUACACAUUGGCGAAGGAGGUGAGCGCAGACAUGCGGAAGAGCGGCAUGACGCUGAAUGCCUCGCUGGGGCUGCUUCUUCUGGAGGUGUGCUGUGCAGCCAAGGACCUUAAAUGGGCCGAGGAUGUGGUCGCGGAGCUGAAGGAGCGGGACGUCCUCAUCGAUACACCGCUCAUGAACGCCUUUCUCCGCGUCCUCUGCGCGGUGGACGCCGGAACGGCUAUCUUCUCCGAGUACGAGCAGAUGCGCAUGGGCAUUCACCCGACCGGCGCCUGGGCCAACACGGAUACGUGUAACAUUGUCCUGCGCUACGCCCACGCGAAACCGAGUAAGGCCGCCUUUGCCGAAAGUCUCUACACGAUGAUGGUGCAGCCCUACUCUAUCGCAGCCGCCAACGAGGAGACGUUUUGCAUUCGCCUCGACGCUUUGACGGGCAAGAUGGAUGUGCCGGUGGACAGUGUAGUCGCCUUCGUGGAGGAUGUGACGCACAAUAGUAGCCCCCUCACCGUCGCCUUCUAUCACUCUGUCCUGCGCUUCUUUCUCGUCCGCGACGAUGCGCGCAUUCAAGUCUGGUUUGAUCGACUGAGCGCGGAGCACGGCAGCUCCGCCAAUGCCAGUGUACCAGCCGCGGACGUGCAGUGCUACACGAUUCUGAUGCAGUACUACCUCGCUCACGCGCGGUACGAUAUGGUGGAACAGCUGUUCCACCAGAUCCAAUGCAGUUCGGAGCUAGAGGCGAGCACCGAGUCCUACUAUGCGCUCUUUGAAGUCGCCGGUCGACAAGGCGACGUCGCAGCGGUGAGGCGGGUGUUCCACCAGGCCUGCGUGAACUGCAUUCCUCUAGACGUGCUUUGCUACAAUAGCAUUUUGAAGACCCUCGUUGAGCACGAGGAGCCUUUUGUGUACGAUGUGCUCAGCGACAUGAAGAAGCACCGAGUGCCGCCAGCAGAGAGCACGAUGGCCGUCUUCCUCGCUGACGCGCACGGACGCCAGGUCUUGGCGGAGGUCGUUUCUCGCGCCCUCUUUUACACACCACCGCCGCCGAUCACGCUGCAGAAGAUGAAGGUGCGAGGGGAGGGAUGAAAGAGAUGAAGAAGCUGCAGUGCUCAUCCCGCUUUCAUGACAAGCCAAACGCAAGGGUGAUGGGGGGGGGACAGGAUGCAGGCCCCUCCUGCUCUCACCCUGCGCAUGUCUUGGAGCUUGUCUCGCCGUGGGAAAGGGCAUCUUGUGGGCGUAUGUGUGUGUCUGAUGUGUGUGUGCGUGGGGGGGGUCAUCCCCGUGUGGAACUAUGCUAUUUGAUGUACACUACUUGUGCGCGCACAAGAGCCAAC
rnacentral:misc_RNA from 1 species